GACCUAGUCUGGUCUGGAAGAAGAGAUCUCUAUGGGCUUUGAUCUUGGUAGGCAUAUUUAUUCACCGGGUACACAAAUGUAACUUUACACCUUCAGCCACAUUUAGUAAACGAUUUCUUCAUUUGUUGCAGUCUUAUUCUGAUGGGAAAAAUUUCCUCUAUUUUUCAAGUUUAAUUUAUUAUUUUUUCAAAUUACAAGAGCAAUGCAUAUUAUUGUAACCAGAGAGAUAAUGCCAAGAUCUGUAGAGAAAAACUUAAUAAUCUGGGUCUCCUAUAACCAUCUCUCUUCCCAUCCCCCUGAGGUAAUAGCAAAUGUUAACAGCCUGGUACCUCUGCACAUCUUCUUUCCUUCAUGAUUUCCCUACACACACACCCAUACAUACACACGCACAUGCACACACACACCCACUCAAACACACGGUGUACGUCCAGGGAUCGGAAGUGGCUACAGAGAUGGAGUCUUCAUUAUUAAGGGGACAUCAAAGUGGAGCCACAAAUGGGAAGAUUGUGAAGAGGGCCCUUGACCAAAUAAAGAGGAAACCUUUUCCCUGAAGAGGACUUUUCAGCAACCCAACUAAUUCACUCAUUUUUCUCAAAGUUGAAUUUUCUUCCACAAAAACCCCUUGACUUUGUUAUUCAGUAGAUCCUCAGGCCUAGGAAAAUAAUGUCUACAUUGACCAAGGAGAUAUCUGAACUACCAGUACUUCCUGCAGCAUCUUUGUUUUGGUUGGCCUGGGCAGGUGGUGGGGCACGGGGGUGAAGGGAGGGGUCUGAGGUGGGUUGAAAACAAGGGUAUCCCCAGGACUAGGGGAGGAAGGUCUAGUGGACUGGAACCAUUGUAUCUGUCGAUUAGUGGAGGCAAUCAUAUUUGUGAUCCUUGAGCUAAUGGUCUAGGAAGACUAUAAACUCGUUCAUAAUUAAAGUUAGCAAGAGGGUUCUUACCCCAGGUAAUGAGACAAGAGUGAACCACAGGAGGAAGCCAGCACAAGGACCGUAUGUAAUGAGUCCCUUCAUGGGAAAAGGGAUGGAAAAUAGUCCUCAGGCUAGUAGCAGAGGGAGUGCUCUCUGUUGUGGGACUUGACCUGCUUAAGAGGUCUGACUUGAGGUGAGGCUGAAAGACAGCCCCGUUGUGGGCUUCAAGAUAAAGAUGGACCGAUAGGGUUCUCUCACCACUGAAUAUCUCCUAAGGCAUUAGUAAAACACUAUUUAAAUAUUUCCUCUGUAACUCAGUUGUGCUAUUAAAGCUCUGUUUCUCAAA
rnacentral:lncRNA from 1 species